GAUGAACGCUAGCGGCAGGCCUAAUACAUGCAAGUCAAGGGGCCAGUAAUGGCACCGGCGGACGGGUGCGUAACGCGUACACAACGUACCUUUGGGUGGGGGAUAGCAUCGGGAAACUGGUGGUAAUACCCCAUGGUAUUGGAGACUGGCAUCAGUUUCAAUUAAAGACUACGCCCAAAGAUCGGUGUGCGUCUGAUUAGCUAGUUGGUAGGGUAACGGCCUACCAAGGCGACGAUCAGUAGGGGAUGUGAGAGCAUGAUCCCCACACGGGUACUNAGACAGGACCCGACUCUACGGAGGCAGCAGUAAGGAAUAUGG
rnacentral:rRNA from 1 species